CCUACGGGAGGCAGCAGUGGGGAAUAUUGCGCAAUGGGCGAAAGCCUGACGCAGCGACGCCGCGUGAGGGAUGAAGGUCUUCGGAUCGUAAACCUCCGUCUGCAGGGAAGAACGGUCACUGUGCUAAUCAGCAGUGAAUUGACGGUACCUGCAAAGGAAGCACCGGCUACCUCCGUGCCAGCCGCCGCGGUAAUACGGAGGGUGCGAGCGUUAAUCGGAAUUACUGGGCAUAAAGCGAUCGUAGGCGGUAUGUCAAGUCAAGGGUGAAAUCCCCGGGCUCAACGUGGGAACUGCCUUUGAUACUGGCAAACUGGAGUGUGUGAGAGGAUGGUGGAAUUCCAGGUGUAGGAGUGAAAUCCGUAGAUAUCUGGAGGAACAUCGGUGGCGAAGGCGACUAUCUGGCACAUAACUGACGCUGAGGCUCGAAAGCGUGGGUAGCAAACAGGAUUAGAUACCCGAGUAGUC
rnacentral:rRNA from 1 species